rnacentral:rRNA from 1 species
UACGUAGGAGGCGAGCGUUGUCCGGAAUUACUGGGCGUAAAGAGCGCGUAGGCGGCACGGUACGACCGGUGUGAAAGCCCCCGGCUCAACUGGGGAGGGUCACCGGUAACGGCCGAGCUAUGAGUGCAGGAGAGGGAAGUGGAACUCCGGGAGUAGCGGUGAAUGCGUAGAGACCCGGAGGAACACCAGUGGCGAAGGCGGCUUCCUGGUCUGCGACUGACGCUGUGGCGCGAAAGCUAGGGGAGCAAACGGG